AUAGCAGUGUGCUACAUGAGAGGCAAGGCUUUUGCUACCAACACAAGGGUCUCUAGUCCAAUGAGUGAAGUUUGAUAGUAAUUCUUGCUAUGAGU
ensembl:snoRNA SNORA62 Small nucleolar RNA SNORA62/SNORA6 family